GCGAUCUGCCAUUUAGAAUACCAUAAAUGAUAUAAACUGAUAACUCUGGUAGGAACUGGUAUAGAAAUCAUUCAUAAGAUUUAAAGUUUCUGUAAAUAUCUGUUAACCGAAAAGUAGAUACAAGAAUGGCAAACAGGAUCUCCAAUAACAGAGGGGCAAGAAUAUUCAAGAUCAUCUAGAGGGCAGACAUCAAAAAAAGAAUCCUGUUGAAAUUGUAAGAAAGGGUUAGCCUACAAAAAUGGAGGUAAAGUUUCUAGAUGUUUAGGCUUUCUAUUAAAAACCUAACUUUUUGGCAAUGUCAGGAAUUUUUGUUUCAGCAUAGGACAAGAGCUUCAUUGAGGUGUGAAUGCAAGCCCCAUCAACAAUAAUUCCUGCACCCAUGCUAACCGGAUUCCUUGCCGUGGAGCCCUACCAAUGUGAUAAGACUCCAAAUUCUGAAGUAUCCUGCUACAAGAUUCAACUGGUAGUAGCACUCACCGGUUCUUCCUUGGCCUAAUUUGACUGGAUCCAGAAGAACCCACUCAAAAUUCUUGGAGAUUAGGCCAAUCUCAUGCAACAGAGCAGAAUCUAUCGUGUGUACAAAUUCUUAAAGACCAUUUGAUACAAGGCCCUGGCCUACAAGUGGAAGUCAUUGCAUAUAGGUUUAAUUUUUGAAAUCUGAGUAAGUGCUGUAAUUUUCUAUUGUUAGAAGUUCUUUGGGUCAGAAUAUUUGAGUCCUAAAAUAUUACUAUGUUGGGAAGGUUUAGAUUUAGAAGGUUUCUAUUUAUUGUUUGGGUCUUGCAAAGCCUACAAAUAGGUCCCUUCUUUCCCAUGUACACAAAAAUCUGAAGAGUUGGAGUGGAUGACUCAGAUCUGCCCCAUAGAGCUCAAAUUUAGCAAAUGAAUAUGGUAUAUUUUGCUUGAA